rnacentral:rRNA from 1 species
GAUGAACGCUAGCGGCAGGCCUAAUACAUGCAAGUCGAGGGGUAGAAGAGGCUUGCUUCUUUGAGACCGGCGCACGGGUGCGUAACGCGUAUGCAACCUACCUUCAUCUGGGGGAUAGCCCGGAGAAAUCCGGAUUAAUACCGCAUAAAAUCACAGGAUGGCAUUAUCCAAUGAUCAAACAUUUAUGGGAUGGAGAUGGGCAUGCGUGUCAUUAGCUAGUUGGCGGGGUAACGGCCCACCAAGGCGACGAUGACUAGGGGAUCUGAGACGAAGGCACCCCCGACUGGUAGUGAGACACCUACCAGACUCCUACGGGAGGCAGCAGUAAUGAAUAUUGGUCAAUGGAAGCAACGCUGAACCAGCCAUGCCGCGUGCAGGAAGACUGCCCUAUGGGUUGUAAACUGCUUUUAUUCUGGAAUAAACCUUAUUACGUGUAAUAAUCUGAAUGUACCGAAGGAAUAAGGAUCGGCUAACUCCGUGCCAGCCGCCGCGGUAACAC